CUUACUUUGUCUGCUGCCAUGUGAGCUGUGCCUUUCACCUUCCACCAUGAUUGUGAAGCCUUCCCAGACAUGUGACACAACCUCUGACUAUGUGAAGAUACGGUGGGAAGAUGACUGACCGCAAGACAGGAAGAGAGCCCUCACCGAGGAACCAAAUUGGCCAGUAUCUUGAUUUUGGAUUUCUCAACCUCAAGAACCAUGAGAAAUGAAUGUCUGCUGUUCAAGCCACCCAGUCAAUGAAAAAGUUUGGAAACCUUCAUCUAGAAAGUGGUCUAGCAAAGUGUGGUCCAUGGAUGAGUUUGAUCUGCAAACUGCUUGUUAUUGGUUCAUGACAAGAAUUGGUUCCAAACAGUAAAGCCGCCAGAAAAAACAGACAAACUCUUAGGAACAACAAUGCCCAUUAUGUGUGGAGUAGAAGCUGCCAGACUUUGAUUACUGGCCAGAGAUUAACCCCUUUGGUGUCUUAGGGGGGAAAAUGCCAAGUCUGAAUCCAGACAUUUCCAGGAUUUUACAGUCAUUCAUGGUAUGAGACCAGGCGAUUUAUAAUGACUUGUGCAAAAAAAAAAAGACUAUUGGGAGAAGGAAGUGCAAGUCAAAGGCCACGGCUCCUUGCUUCCUGAAUUCUGCCAUGACUAAUUCCAGCAAGCGGACAUAGACCUGAUCACCUCUGCUUUUCCCUUUGCUAGCCUGCCUGGUCAUGGAUGAGAAGCACGCUGCUCUUGCUACCUUCAUGUGGUGGUUUGGGUCCUGAAACAUCCACCUAUUUUCAGAAUAAACUAAAAUAAUUUCUU
rnacentral:lncRNA from 1 species